rnacentral:lncRNA from 1 species
ACUAUUAAGACGGAAUAAUUCAUACUGAAUUCUGCUCUUAAUGUUUUGGUAGAUCUGGAUGUACUCCGCCUAUGAUCUGGAUGUGGAUAGGGUUUCUCUGUCUGUGCUUCUGGCAAAUGUGGUCUGAUUCAGUCAUAGCCUCAAAUAUCAGCAGCUUUACUGGAAAAUGGAGUGACCAGUGGAUUAAACAAAUGAGAGGGCUGGAAAUGGGUCUGCUUCAAGUCUUAGCAUGUACUUCGGGGAGCGAUAUCUGGAGAUGGUGGAGGUUAAACUUGGAAUUAAGGUCUGUAGGUCUGAUGAGAGGUACAAGAACAAGCGAAGAUUUCACUCUUUUCUCCUCCCUUUACAACACAGUUGUGUAUCCUCCGUUGUCAUCGUGGAAAAUGAGACCACCUUCACCGCACAUUUGUUUCAAGGCAUUCAAUUGUGACACUCAGAUAAUGAUGUUUGGUGCCCUUUCCUUCUUGCUUACCUAAAUCUGUUUGAAGAGCCCUUGAGAUAAGCAUAGGAACACUGCAACCACAGGUGAAAUCUCUCAUUUCUUUGGCCAUUAAUAGAUUACCAUGAUCUGCUUUGGUUUG